rnacentral:rRNA from 1 species
GACGAACGCUGGCGGCGUGCUUAACACAUGCAAGUCGAACGGAAAGGCCCUGCUUGCGGGGUACUCGAGUGGCGAACGGGUGGGUAACUCGUGGGUGAUCUGCCCUGCACUUCGGGAUAAGCUUGGGAAACUGGGUCUAAUACCGGCUAGGUAACAUCUUUAGAGACGUGGUUGGAAAGUUUUUUCGGUGUUUGAUGGGCUCACGGCCUAUCAGCUUGUUGGUUGGGUAAUUGCUUACCAAGGCGGCGACGGGUAGCCGGCCUGAGAGGGUGCACGGCCACAUUGGGACUGAGAUACGGCCCAGACGCCUACGGGAGGCAGCAGUGGGGAGUAUUGCACAAUGGGCGCAAGCCUGAUGCAGCGACGCCGCGUGGGGGAUGAAGGGCUUCGGGUUGUAAACUCCUUUCGCUAGGGACGAAGCUUUUUGUGACGGUACCUAGAUAAGAAGCAACGGCUAACUACGUG